GGUCUGUGAUGUUAUGUAAAAGGUCUGAUUUUCAGCUCCGCCCCCCUCAGCCGCCUGGCUCCCAGCAGCCCCUGCUCUCUGCUCCCAUCAUGCACCAGUGAUGCAGCGGUGGGACCCAGGAGCUGCUGACAGUAAGGACGUGACAUCACAGGGAGUCUAUACAGAGAUCCUGUAGGCUCAUAGUGAUGAUGACAUCCAACAGAACCAAUCGUCAUGGAGCAUAAGGCUAAGGGGCGUGGCCUGAUACAUGAUCUCAUUGUACUUCUGAGGCC